rnacentral:tRNA from 1 species
GGGGGCGUGGCGAAAUUGGUAGACGCACUGGAUUUAGGUUCCAGCGCCGCAAGGUGUAAGAGUUCGAGUCUCUUCUCCCCCACCA